rnacentral:lncRNA from 1 species
GUUUGGUCAAACCCCAAAUUAUCUCAAAUUGAAGCAAUUUAGGUGCCCAUGCUUCCCUUUGACCCAAUCUUAUAAUCGUCACAAACGUCAACCCAAGUCUAGGCCUUGUGUGUUUAUGGGCUACUCCAAAACCCAAAGUGCCUAUCCUUGCCUUGACCUAGCAACAAAUCGCUUAUAAUAAUCCGGACAUGUUCUGUUUGAUGAAAUAUAAUUUCCUCUUAACACAUCUCUCAGUCCCGUUUGUGCAACACCGACUCCUUCAGAAAAGUCACUACAUGAUUUCCCGCCAUAGUCAAUUCUCGUACUAGCUUCUCCAUCACAAGUCUUUCCUAUACCAUCUCCAGUGCCAGUGUCUCUGGAAUUUGACCUGCAAUGUCUCUGUGUGUGUCCUUUACAGUGACUACAUCCAACUUAGUAAGUUCCUCUCCCUCUUCAAUUUCCUAUUCAUUACCUAGUUUACCCAAUUUUACUAUACUUGAGCCUCAUACAGUCCACACUUCCCCUCUCUGAAUCCACCAAAUGGUAACCAGGUCGAUAAAUAAUAUCUACAAACCAAAACAAAUGUCUCUAGUCACUAAGCAUCCCGUAGCAUCCUUCGUGGAACCAACUUGUGUUAGUCAGGCAUUAUCUGAUCCUCAAUGGCAUUAAGCAAUGCCCAAUGAACUCACUGCCCUCAUGCGACAUGAUACAUGGGAAUUAGUGCCAUUGCCUACAAGGUCAAAGGUUGUUGGGUGUAAGUGGGUCUUUAGAGUCAAAUGGCAUGCUGAUGGUUCUAUUAAUAGGUUCAAAGCUCCGUUGGUUGUAAAAGGCUAUAAUCAACGACCUGGGAUUGAUUAUACUGAAACCUUUAGUCCUGUAGUUAAACCUGCCACCAUAUUUACUGUUUUGUCUAUUGUUGUUAUGCAGGGAUGGCCAUUAAGAUAGAUGGAUAUUAACAAUUCCUUUCUCCAUGGCCACUAAUCGGAAGAUGUCUACAUGAUCCAACCUCCAAGAUUUCGUGAUCCAACUAAACCAGAUCAUGUCUGUCAUCUUUGAAAGGCAAUUUAUGGCCUCAAACAAGCCCCUCGUGCUUAGCACUCGGCUCUCAAACAGGCAUUACUAGAUUUUUGGAUUUGUGAAUGUAAAAUUGGAUUCAUCACUUUUGGUGCACCAUUCUGGUUCUACUCUUACCUACUUUCUAGUUUGUGUGGAUGAUUUAAUUAUUACUAAAAUGAUUCUGCCUUUGUGACUAGCAUUAUUCAGAAACUUGGUCGCAAGUUCUCUCUCACAGAUUUAGGACCACUCCAUUUUUCCUUGGUAUUAAGGUAAUCCCUAUAAUGACUGGGCUAUUUCUCAUGUAACAUAGGUACAUACGGGAUUUAUUGUCCAAGACAAAUACGGAUGGUACAAAGGAUGUGACAACACCUCUUUCCACCUCUAUACCCUUGAAUUUGUCUCAUGGUUUACCUUUUGUGGACCAAACCGAAUAUCGCAGAAUCAUUGGAACUUUGCAAUACCUGUCUUUAACUAGGCCUGACAUUAGUUUUGCAGUGAAUAAGCUCUCCCAAUUCAUGCAUCAUCCAUUGGCCCAACAGUAGGCAGCUACCAAACGUUUGCUACUUUACCUGCAGAACACCAUUUUUCAUGGACUUGUGCUUCACAAGACUGCUGGAUCAUCUCUUUUGAGUUAUUCUGAUGCUGAUUGGGCAGGUAACCUUGAUGAUCAUAGUUCUACAUUGGCAUAUCUCAUUUUACUUGGGUCAAUUCCUAUAUCAUGGAGCUUAAAGAGACAAUGCUCGAUUUCUAGAUCAUCCACCGAGGCAAAAUAUCGAGCUCUUGCUACAGAUACUUCUGAGACCAUGUGGCCCCUCUUUCUGCUUCAUGAACUGAAGUUUCCUCUUGCAUAGCCUCCACUCCUCUUAUGUGUCAAUCUUGGAGCAACACAUUUAAACUUUAUUCCAAUCCAGCAUUCACGGACGAAACACAUUCAACUAGACCUUCAUUUCAUCUGUGUCUUACUUCAGAAGGGAAAACUUAAUGUUCGUCAUGUUCACACUCAAGAUCAACUAGCUGAUCUCUUGACCAAGCCUCUCUCACGAGAAAGAACUCAAUAUCUUAGAGACAAGAUCGGCCUCGCCAAUGGCAUCCCGUUCUUUUAGGGGUGUAUUAAGGAAGAUGCCACGAAUCAUGCCAUACCUCUUGCGAACAACUGUAUUAAGGAAGAUGCCAUGAAUCAAGCCAUGCCUAUUCCGAAAAACUGUAAUCAAGGCUUCAUUGGCUAAAAUUAUGAAGCACAUCUGUAGCGUUGUAAUUAGCAAUUUACUCUAUUUAGAUUAAACCAUAGUUGUAUAUAAACACACUCACUGAUGAAUGAAAUAUGUGCAAAGUUAAAAUCUCA